GAUAGAGGCCUACCAUGGUGGUAACGGGUAACGGGGAGUUAGGGCACGACACCGGAGAGGGAGCCUGAGAAACGGCUACCACAUCCAAGGAUGGCAGCAGGCGCGCAAAUUACCCAAUCCCGACACGGGGAGGUAGUGACAAUAAAUAACAAUACGGGGUUCUUUAGGAUCUCGUAAUUGGAAUGAGUACAAUUUAAAUCUCUUAACGAGGAACAAUUGGAGGGCAAGUCUGGUGCCAGCAGCCGCGGUAAUUCCAGCUCCAAUAGCGUAUAUUAAAGUUGUUGCAGUUAAAAAGCUCGUAGUUGAAUUUCGGGGUUAGUAGGUUGGUCAUGCCUCUGGUAUGUACUGGUCUCACUGAUUCCUCCUUCCUUAUGAACCGUAAUGCCAUUAAUUUGGUGUUGCGGGGAAUUUGGACUGUUACUUUGAAAAAAUUAGAGUGUUUAAAGCAAGCUAACGCUUGAAUACAUUAGCAUGGAAUAAUGAAAUAGGACGUUCGAUCUUAUUUUGUUGGUUUCUAGGAUUGACGUAAUGAUUAAUAGGGAUAGUUGGGGGCAUUAGUAUUCAAUUGUCAGAGGUGAAAUUCUUGGAUUUAUUGAGGACUAACUACUGCGAAAGCAUUUGCCAAGGAUGUUUUCAUUAAUCAAGAACGAAAGUUAGGGGAUCGAAGACGAUCAGAUACCGUCGUAGUCUUAACCAUAAACUAUGCCGACUAGGGAUCGGAUGAU
rnacentral:rRNA from 1 species